rnacentral:rRNA from 1 species
UACGGGGGGAGCAAACGUUGUUCGGAAUCACUGGGCGUAAAGGGCGCGUAGGCGGCCCGCUAAGUCGAACGUGAAAUCCCCGAGCUCAACUCGGGAACUGCGUCCGAUACUGGCGGGCUUGAAUCCGGGAGAGGGAUGCGGAAUUCCAGGUGUAGCGGUGAAAUGCGCAGAUAUCAGGAAGAACACCCGUGGCGAAGGCGGCUCUCUGGGACGGUACUGACGCUGAGACGCGAAAGCGUGGGGAGCGAACAGG